GACGAACGCUGGCGGCGUGCCUAAUACAUGCAAGUUGAGCGCUGAAGGUUGGUACUUGUACCAACUGGAUGAGCAGCGAACGGGUGAGUAACGCGUGGGGAAUCUGCCUUUGAGCGGGGUACAACAUUUGGAAACGAAUGCUAAUACCGCAUAAAAACUUUAAACACAAUUUUUAAGUUUGAAAGAUGCAAUUGCAUCACUCAAAGAUGAUCCCGCGUUGUAUUAGCUAGUUGGUGAGUUAAAGGCUCACCAAGGCGAUGAUACAUAGCCGAACUGAGAGGGUGAACGGCAAAAAUGGGAAUGAGACAAGGGCAAAAAGACUACGGGAGGCAGCAGUAGGGAAACUUCGGCAAUGGACGAAAGUGAGACCGAGAAAGGACGAGGGAGUGAAGAAGGAUUUCGGAUCGUAAAACUCUGUUGGUAGAGAAGAACGUUGGUGAGAGUGGAAAGCUCAUCAAGUGACGGUAACUACACAGAAAGGGACGGCUAACUACGUG
rnacentral:rRNA from 1 species